AGCCCGGUCGUCUAGCGGUCAAGGAAGGGCUAGAUCUCCUUGAAUACCAGGCUCUGGAUCUCAUGAAAAGAAACCUGGUGACGGCAGUUCGAAUCUGCCCCGGGCUACCA
rnacentral:tRNA from 1 species